CACUUCAGGUAAUGGGUAAAGAGACACCUUGUUGGUGAUGUCGUUCUUAGAUCAGUCAGGAGCAGAACAGUUGUUCUGUUCAUCCUAACUCAGUACCUGGCUUGCUGGCCAAAGUUGUUUUAUACCUAGGACACAUCA